GUCCUACGGGGCGCAGCAGUGGGGAAUAUUGCGCAAUGGGGGAAACCCUGACGCAGCAACGCCGCGUGCAGGAAGAAGGUCUUCGGAUUGUAAACUGUUGUCGCAGGGGAAGAAGACAGUGACGGUACCCUGUGAGAAAGUCACGGCUAACUACGUGCCAGCAGCCGCGGUAAUACGUAGGUGGCGAGCGUUAUCCGGAAUGAUUGGGCGUAAAGGGUGCGUAGGCGGCCUGCUAAGUCUGGAAUGAAAGGUACCGGCUCAACCGGUACAGGCUCUGGAAACUGGCGGGCUAGAGAGCAGGAGAG
rnacentral:rRNA from 1 species